CGGCUCUUAAGCCCGGCCGGCCCGGGGCAGCGCCGGAGCGGCUCCCGGCCCGGGCCGAACCCCGCGGCCCCCGCCUGAAAUGAAGUGCUAGCUGGAAGGACCCGUGUGAGCACACCAAGGGUAAGAGCUUUUUCAGGAACUCUUCUGUCUGCACGUAGAUGCAAUGCCUACCCCAGGGCUGACGUACAAAGCCCCUGAGGAAGGCGUUGGUGGUCCCACAGGAGAAAAGUACUGGGGUACCUGCCCCACGGCUUCUUUGCAGGUAUCGUUUGGAGGCUGGCUCAUCCUCUGUGCUUCACCCAGCAGGUGAGUGUGCGUUGGCUUUCUCCCCCUUUAUUGGGUGUACUUCCAUGCAAUGCAGUGGCCAAUGCAAGCAUCCAAGCCAGUGAUGUGGGUGGUGAAGAAGCCAAAUCUCCAUCCGUGUGACGCUGAGAGGUCAGCGGGGAAGUCUGGGUGGGUGCAGCCUCCUGACCUACAGUUCCCUGCUGCAGGUAAAGGAGGUGGUUGCUGUUGCCCACCACAGGAGCCCAGCAAUCCUUGAACCCCCAUGAAUCACCCCUGGUCACGCAGUAAAGGAAGAGGAGCCUGUGUGGCCUCUGGAGAUGGACAUGCUGUCUCCCAGCCUGUGGUUUUGGAGAGGCUGGACUUACCCGGCAUGUGAGGGGAUUGACUUGCUGCAUGAAAGCCAACGUGUUUGUCUUGCAGGCAUCUGCUAGAAGGAGGGGUCCUAGCUUCUGUGGGUGGCUGCAGUCAAGGUCCCAGGCUGGACUUCAUUCUUGAGGAACCUCUUUGGUGGAAGGUGGAGCUGAUGCUAAGAGGAAGGUGCUGUCCGAAGUACUCCACAGCUGUGCUGCUAGCAGGUAUCGGCAGGAGGAGCCUGCCUACAAACCCACCUUGUCAAGGGCUGGAGAGAAGAUAAAUUCAUGCUGCUUCAGAUCUGGCAGCAAACACCAUGGUUCUCUGGCCAACAACAGGAGAAGAUGAUGUGGUGCCUUCGAGUGGCACCAGAGUGCUGUCACAGGUUGUUUACCCUGCUCUUGGGAUCCCAAAAGACAUGGUGAGAGCCACAGUCGCAUCAGCACAGUGACAGCCAAGAAACCAGCUCUUGAGGGUGACCCCAAGCCCUGGUCUGCCGUUGCUCUGGAGGAGGAACAACAGAGUUCUUCAGCUCCUCUGUGGCCAAGCUAGAACCUCCUGAAACCCAGUGGAUUUUCAUCCAGCUGUUACCUAACUCUGAGAGGGACCAUCAAAGGCAAGUUCUGCAUUUAUCCGUCACUUCAAAAAGCAACCCAUAAGCAUGAAGGUUGUGGAAGGGAAGCUGCACCAUGGACCAGACUUUCUCAGCCACUGGAGUGAUUACAGAAGCAGAAGUGUAAAGGAGAGGAAGAGGAACGAGCAAACCCAACGGCCGCAGCAUGACCCGAGCUCCCUAAGCUGAUGAGCCAGGGGAGCCGCCGCUGCAGAUCACUGGGGACCACACGCCGGGGGGGGGUUGAGGGGGACAGCCUGUGCCCAGGCACCAGGGGGACAUUUUCUGGAGAUCCCGUCUCUCCCGUUACAUGCGCCGCAGGCGGCUCUUCAGUCCCACGCCACUGCUGUCGCAGUCGCCUGGCUCUGCACCCGCCAGCAGCACUGUGCCCCUCCGGCUGGCUGAGCACGGGGCAGGGCAGAACUGUGCCAGAGAGGGUCGGGAAUCUGUGUUACCCUGUGAGACACGAUGCCUCCUCCAUGGUGAAGCAGAGGAUGAAGACUGGGCAGAGCCUCGGAUAGAGAAGAUAUGAGGGACUUAAGGCCACUUACAUCAGAAGUGUAUUGAUGCUGAGUUACUUGGGCUGGUCUUGGGUGACAAAUCACAUGUGUGUUAAUCUUUUUUUAGGAGUCACCGACCCAGGCUUUUGCAGGACAACUUUCACUGAACAAGGAGGGGGAAAAAUGUCUGAAUAAGAAAAUAGCUGGAAGAUCCACGACUGGGAAAGCUUUCCAGCAAAAUAUUAUUUUUUUUCAGUCUUGGACAUGAGAUGAACUCUUAUCCUGCAAAUGCUUCUUUCCUGCAAGGUGUCAUACAACACAUGCCACAGGUCACAGGGAGAGCAGCUCUUGUGUGCUGCUCGCAACCCACAGGUCCCAGUCAGCCUUGGUGAGGGCUCACAGCAGCAGCGUGACUGCAGGCCUGGGGGGACACAGCCCCUGCUAUGGCCUCUGGGGUGGCACUGAAAUGAUGCUCUGGUGGCCUGGGGAAGAAGCAGGGACUCUCCUCGUAGUUUGGUGCUGUAGAGCAUGCUUCCCAGCAAUGGUCACCAGCCCAGUUCAGUUUACUAGUAUAGGUACAACCUUAGAUGCUGAAAGGAUCCUGUAUUUAAGUCCCCCAGACCUCCCCCAUCCUAUAUGCUCCAUGUGGUCAGAAUAGGAUUUGGUAUGUUAAGGUGCUUGAAUUCUUUGUGUUUGUUUCUCGAAGUUAGAUUGGUAUACUUUUUUUGUUGUUCUUUGCACUAAAAAAAAAAUACCUUGGAAUACAUGUACACUUUUAAAAACUGUUCUUCCCUUAAAUAGUUCAGCCUGUUUGACCAGACCUGGGCUGUGGUGGUGAUAAUAUGAUUUUACACAAUUUAUUCUAAGCAGCUUUGCUUGCAGUUUUUAUCUCACGGAUAACUUUCUUCCUGAAAUGGUGCUAAACCCCAUGAAAUACAGCAGAUCUCUAUGCAGAAUCAAGUGAACCUGCAACAAUUGAAGGCAAGUUUGUCUGAGCUCUUGGAUUUUUACAUCACAGCUUGAAUGUUUUCUGUUGAUAGCAUUGAUAUGAUUUCUAGCAGUUAAAUCCCAAGUAUUUAAGUGGAACAGAGCUUAUUAUGUAUACCCUACUUACCUCAAACUGCUCAAACUUUAUUUGAGUAAAACAAUAAAGUAUAUUAAACA